GAUAAACGCUGGCGGCGUGCAUGAGACAUGCAAGUCGAACGAACGAGCUUGCUCGUUAGUGGCGGACGGCUGAGUAACGCGUAGGUGACCUGCCCCGAAGUGGGGGAUAACUGCCCGAAAGGGUGGCUAAUACCGCAUGUGGCGGCGCUUUCAUUGGCGUCAUCAAAGCCGCGAGGCGCUUCGGGAGGGGCCUGCGUCCGAGUCGCUCGUUGGUGGGGUAAUGGCUCACCAAGGCGACGAUCGGUAGGUGGUCUGAGAGGACGAUCACCCAGACUGGGACUGAGACACGGCCCAGACUCCUACGGGAGGCAGCAGUCGGGAAUUUUGCUCAAUGGGCGCAAGCCUGAAGCAGCAACGCCGCGUGCGGGAUGAAGGCCUUCGGGUUGUAAACCGCUUUUGUCAGGGACGAUGAUGACGGUACCUGGCGAAUAAGUCACGGCUAACUACGUGCCAGCCGCCGCCGUAAAAC
rnacentral:rRNA from 1 species